UAGGGAAUCUUCCGCAAUGGACGAAAGUCUGACGGAGCAACGCCGCGUGAACGAAGAAGGCCUUCGGGUCGUAAAGUUCUGUUGUUAGGGAAGAACAAGUACCAGAGUAACUGCCGGUACCUUGACGGUACCUAACCAGAAAGCCACGGCUAACUACGUGCCAGCAGCCGCGGUAAUACGUAGGUGGCAAGCGUUGUCCGGAAUUAUUGGGCGUAAAGCGCGCGCAGGUGGUUCCUUAAGUCUGAUGUGAAAGCCCACGGCUCAACCGUGGAGGGUCAUUGGAAACUGGGGAACUUGAGUGCAGAAGAGGAAAGUGGAAUUCCAAGUGUAGCGGUGAAAUGCGUAGAGAUUUGGAGGAACACCAGUGGCGAAGGCGACUUUCUGGUCUGUAACUGACACUGAGGCGCGAAAGCGUGGGGGAGCAAACAGGAUUAGAUAUCCUGGUAGUCCACGCCGUAAACGAUGAGUGCUAAGUGUUAGAGGGUUUCCGCCCUUUAGUGCUGCAGCUAACGC
rnacentral:rRNA from 1 species